rnacentral:rRNA from 1 species
UGGGGAAUUUUGGACAAUGGGGGCAACCCUGAUCCAGCCAUGCCGCGUGAGUGAAGAAGGCCUUCGGGUUGUAAAGCUCUUUCAGACGGAAAGAAAACGCUUCCCCUAAUACGGGAGGUGGAUGACGGUACUGUCAGAAGAAGCACCGGCUAACUACGUGCCAGCAGCCGCGGUAAUACGUAGGGUGCGAGCGUUAAUCGGAAUUACUGGGCGUAAAGCGUGCGCAGGCGGUUGUGUAAGACAGGUGUGAAAUCCCCGGGCUUAACCUGGGAACUGCGCUUGUGACUGCACGGCUAGAGUACGGCAGAGGGGGGUGGAAUUCCACGUGUAGCAGUGAAAUGCGUAGAUAUGUGGAGGAACACCGAUGGCGAAGGCAGCCCCCUGGGCCGAUACUGACGCUCAUGCACGAAAGCGUGGGGAGCAAACAGG